rnacentral:tRNA from 1 species
GGGGCGGUAGCUCAGUGGUCAGAGCAGGGGACUCAUAAUCCCUGGGUCGUGGGUUCGAUCCCCACCCGCCCCAC